GUGGGGUUGGCAGAGUUAAGUGCAUUUGGUUUAGGUCCAUAACAUGAGGAUGGUAUGUUCUCACCCUAUU
rnacentral:tRNA from 1 species